rnacentral:rRNA from 1 species
AAUUGGAGGGCAAGUCUGGUGCCAGCAGCCGCGGUAAUUCCAGCUCCAAUAGCGUAUAUUAAAGUUGUUGCAGUUAAAAAGCUCGUAGUUGAAUUUCGGGAUUGACGUGAUGGUCAUGCCUUAAGGGGUAUGAACUGUUGCAGUUGAUUUCUCACCUUCUGGAGAAACUUGAUGUCCUUUAUUGGGUGUCUUGCGGAACCAGGACCUUUACCUUGAAAAAAUUAGAGUGUUUAAAGCAGGCAUUUUGCUCGAAUACAUUAGCAUGGAAUAAUAGAAUAGGACGGCAUGGUUCUAUUUUGUUGGUUUCUAGGAUCACCGUAAUGAUUAAUAGGGAUAGUUGGGGGCAUUAGUAUUCAAUUGUCAGAGGUGAAAUUCUUGGAUUUAUUGAAGACUAACUACUGCGAAAGCAUUUGCCAAGGAUGUUUUCAUUAAUCAAGAACGAAAGUUAGGGGAUCGAAGACGAUCAGAUACCGUCGUAGUCUUAACCAUAAACUAUGCCGACUAGGAAUCAGACGAUGUUAAUUUUUUAAUGACUCGUUUGGCACCUUACGGGAAACCAAAGUGU